GUAUCGUCUGAGUUGUUGUCCCACGAAUGUUUACUUCAUAAACAUUUUGUUUUCUAUAUGUCAUAUUUUGCCGCAUUUGUUGCUUUCCCCACAUCCUUCCUUUUGUCUAUAUUAUUAUGAUAUUCUCCUGGAAAGAGCUCUCUUUGAAUAAAAGGGAUCAACGAACCCAUUACCUUACCUUUAAGAUAGAUCAGUAAACAUGGGCAUAAUUAUGGGUGAUUAUUCAGACUAGUGCACACAUUUUACAGUUCAAACAAGGCAAUGCCGAGCGUGGCACCCCCUCGUAUGUAACAUAUUGGGGACAAAUAUGGACACUAUAUUUGUAUAUGACACAUGCAGAAAAUGGUAAAUUGAAUAUGCAUAUUUGAUACAUAAACUAUUUUUUAGAAAUCAACCAAAACAUUCAGUAACUGGAAAUACCUUUAAUAUUGUCUUUAGAUCCAGCAGGUAAAAAAAUGAGCAACCAAUUUCCUGUGUAUUAUGCUAUUUCAAGGAGAAAAAAACAAGUCCAUCUGCAUGACCUUGACCUUUGGCCUUGAACGUAAAAAAUGUCAGAUCAUUACAAGGAGGAACAAUAUACCAAAUGUGGUUAAAAUCUUUUGAAGCAUAUUGGUUUUAGAGUGUCCACAAGGGUGAUAUUACCUUGUAUUACAACUGCCACUGUGACCUUGACCUUUAAAGUCAAUAGCGCUUAAGAUAUUCUUAACGAGUAACACCAUACCAAGUUUUGAGCAUUUUGGUUCUAGAGUGUCCAUAACAGUUUUAUCUACACGCAACUUACAUGUAGUAGGCGAGGGGAUAAUAAACUAGUUUUAUAAGAAUUAGACAAAAAAUUCCCGCCUAUAACUUAAAUGCAUCGUAAGCUGUACACGACGUCUUUUAGACAUCGUAUGGCCAUCGCGCCAUCAUCGUUAUCUAUCGUGUAGCCUUCGUAAUCCAUCGUGUAGCCUUCGGCUGAGAUAUGAAGCUUAAAUACCCGUCUUCGGUUAACCUUCGUAUGUCCAUCUUUUGCUAUCGUAUAUAAUUUCGGCGCCAUCGUAUAGACUUCGUUAUUCAUCGUACUUGCUUCGGUCACUUUUUGGUAUUUUAACGAGAUCGGGACCAACUUCGUACGAACUUACAAUUUUCGUAUUCG
rnacentral:lncRNA from 1 species